rnacentral:lncRNA from 1 species
GGGGAAGGGAGAUUGUUUGGCUGCAGCAGCCAGCAAAGUUAGUGUUCCAUAUGGCUCCUUUUUUUGUUUCUGUUCUUUUUUUUUUUUUUUUGAGACAGAAUUUCGCUCUUGUUGCCCAGGCUGGAGUGCAAUGGCACGAUCUCGGCUCACCACAACCUUCGCCUCCUGAGUUCAAGCGAUUAUCCUGCCUCAGCCUCCCUAGUAGCUGGGAUUACAGGCAUGUGCCACCACGCCUGGCUAAUUUUGUAUUUUUAGUAGAGACGAGGUUUCUCCAUGUUGGUCAGGCUGGUCUCGAACUCCCGACCUCACGUGAUCUGCCUGCCUCGGNNNNNNNNNNNNNNNNNNNNNNNNNNNNNNNNNNNNNNNNNNNNNNNNNNNNNNNNNNNNNNNNNNNNNNNNNNNNNNNNNNNNNNNNNNNNNNNNAGCUCCGCCUCCCGGGUUCAUGCCAUCCUCCUGCCUCAGCCUCCCAAGUAGCUGGGACUACAGGUGCCCGCCAUCAUGCCCGGCUAAUUUUGUUUUGUAUUUUUAGUAGAGACGGGGUUUCACCGUGUUAGCCAGGAUGGUAUCCAUCUCCUGACCUCGUGAUCCGCCUGCCUCGGCCUCCCAAAGUGCUGGGAUUACAGGCAUGAUCCACCGCGCCUGGCCAUAUCUAUCUGUAUUUUGAGACAAGGUUUCCCUCUGUUGUCCAGGCUGGAGUGCAGUGUUACAAUCACGGUUCACUCACCAUACACCAAGAUAAAUGCCAAGUGGGCCAAAGAUUUCAAAGUGAAAAAAAUGGAACUAUAAAAGUAUAUAAGGGCCAAGGCCAGGCGCGGUGGCUCACGCCUGUUAUCCCAGCACUUUGGGAGGCCGAGGAGGGCAGAUUACGACGUCAGGAGUCAGAGACCAGCCUGGCCAAUGUAGUGAAACCCCAUCAAUGCUAAAAAUAAAAUUAGCUGGGUGUGAUGGCACGCACCCGUAGUUCCAGCUACUCAGGGGGCUGAGGCGGGAGAAUCGCUUGAACUCGGAGGUGGAGGUUGCAGUGAGCCAAGACCAUGCCACUGCCCUCCAGCCUGGGUGACAGAGUGUUUUUUUUUUUUUUUUUUUUUUUUUUUUUUUUUUUUUUUUUUUUUUUUUUUUUUUUUUUUUUUUUUUUUUUUUUUUUUUUUUUUUUUUUUUUUUUUUUUUUUUUUUUUUUUUUUUUUUUUUUUUUUUUUUUUUUUUUUUUUUUUUUUUUUUUUUUUUUUUUUUUUUUUUUUUUUUUUUUUUUUUUUUUUUUUUUUUUGCCCGGCCUAUUAUUAUUAUUUUGUAGAGACAGGGUAUCCCUGUGUUGUUCAGGCUGGUCUUGAAUUGCUGGGCUCAAGUGAUCUUCCCACCUUGCCCUCCCAAAGUGUUGGGAUUACAGGCAUGAGCCACNNNNNNNNNNGUGACAGAGCGAGACUCCAUCUCAAAAAUAAAAUAAAUAAAUAAAUAAAUAAAUAGUAAUAAUAAAUAAAAAUUAGCCAGGCAUGGUGGUGUGCAUCUGUGGUCUUAGCUACUUAGGCAGGCUGAGGCGGGAGCAUCACUUGAGCCCCGGAGGUUGAGACCAGCCUGAGCAACAUAGUGAGACACCAUCACUAUUAAAAGGAAAAAAUGUAGUAAAAUAUGAAGCUUUUUUCUUUCUUCUUCUCUCUCUCUCCACUUGUCACCAUGUUUUUCACUUUCUAUUUCAUGAUCACACUCCUCAGGCACAGGACAGAGGUAGGAGAGUGCAGACUCUUGCAGGAGUCCAGAGGCCCUCUGUCCCACAACUUAGGAUGGUCCCUGUGACCUCAAAACUCACUAGUCAAGUAGGAGGUCUGAGCUCCCAGUGGAGUAACCAGCCAUCCAGUUUGCUAGGGGAUUAGGGGUUUCCUGGAAUAUGGGACUUUGAGAACUAAAACUGGCAAAGUUCCAGGUGAUCAGGGAGAGUUGGUUACCCUAGAGCUCUGGGCUGUGCCAGACCUCAGAGUGGGUUCCAAAUUUUGGGGGAAAUGAGAACAACCAUCCUGACAUAGUUCACAGGUGGCUUUCCCCAAGGGUGGCACAUGCUGAAAGGAUGCAGUCAGGGGGAUGCAGCUGGUCUUCGGUGGUCUCUGGAGCCCACAGGGAGGCAAAGGAGCCCCCCCACCCCAAGAACUAUAGGCUUAUUGCCUUUCGCACACCAAGUCCCAAGAGCCCCUAACACCUCUUUCGACCAUCAAGGCCCUCAUUCUGCUCCUCAGGAAGUCCUGGCACCCAGGCCAUGAAAUCUGGCUUUGAGACUGACAUUCUUGCUGAGACUGGGGUAUUCUCCCUUUACCCAUAUCUAACAGCCUGUGAGUUUCCUUUUGUGUCCAAUAAGGGCUAAUCCUGGGUGGUCUAUGACUGCCUGUCUGCAAGGUCACAGAAGGACGUGACCUCCAUCUGCUGUUGCUUUCCUGAUGGCUCCCUUGGUCUC